rnacentral:rRNA from 1 species
UAUUCUUUAUAGCUUGCUAUGGGGACAAUUAGUGGCAGACGGGUGAGUAAUGCAUAGGAAUCUACCUAGUAGUAUAGGAUAGCCACUAGAAGUGGUGGGUAAUACUGUAUAAUCCCUGCGGGGGAAAGAUUUAUCGCUACAUGAUGAGCCUAUGUUAGAUUAGCUAGUUGGUGGGGUAAUGGCCUACCAAGGCAGUGAUCUAUAGCUGGUCUGAGAGGAUGAUCAGCAACACUGGAACUGAGACACGGUCCAGACUCCUACGGGAGGCAGCAGUGGGGAAUAUUGGACAAUGGGCGCAAGCCUGAUCCAGCUAUGCCGCGUGAGUGAGGAAGGCCUUAGGGUU